GACGAACGCUGGCGGCGUGCUUAACACAUGCAAGUCGAACGGUGAUGCUCCAGCUUGCUGGAGUGGAUCAGUGGCGAACGGGUGAGUAACACGUGAGCAACCUGCCCCAGACUCUGGAAUAAGCGCUGGAAACGGCGGCUAAUACUGGAUACGAAACUGGCCCGCAUGGGCAUGGUUUGGAAAGUUAUUCGGUUUGGGAUGGGCUCGCGGCCUAUCAGCUUGUUGGUGAGGUAAUGGCUCACCAAGGCGACGACGGGUAGCCGGCCUGAGAGGGCGACCGGCCACACUGGGACUGAGACACGGCCCAGACUACUACGGGAGGCAGCAGUGGGGAAUAUUGCACAAUGGGCGAAAGCCUGAUGCAGCGACGCCGCGUGAGGGAUGACGGCCUUCGGGUUGUAAACCUCUUUCAGCAGGGAAGAAGCGAAAGUGACGGUACCUGCAGAAGAAGCACCGGCUAACUACGUG
rnacentral:rRNA from 1 species